rnacentral:tRNA from 1 species
GGCUCCGUGGCUUAAUGGUUACGGCUUCUGUCUCCCAAGCAGAAAGGUUCAGGGAUCAAAUCCCGGUCGGUACCU